rnacentral:rRNA from 1 species
AGUGAACGCUGGCGGCGUGCUUAACACAUGCAAGUCGAACGAGAACGGGUUAUAGCUUGCUAUAAUUGUCAGCUAAGUGGCGCACGGGUGAGUAGUGUAUAGGUAAUAUGCCUCUUACUAAGGGAUAACAAAUGGAAACGUUUGCUAAUACCUUAUACUCCUUAUUAACAGAAGUUAAUAAGGGAAAGAUUUAUUGGUAAGAGAUUAGCCUGUAUUGUAUCAGUUAGUUGGUGGGGUAAUGGCUUACCAAGACUAUGACACAUAACUGGUUUGAGAGGAUGAUCAGUCACACUGGAACUGAGACACGGUCCAGACUCCUACGGGAGGCAGCAGUGGGGAAUAUUGCACAAUGGACGGAAGUCUGAUGCAGCAACGCCGCGUGGAGGAUGACACAUUUCGGUGCGUAAACUCCUUUUAUAUGAGAAGAUAAUGACGGUAUUAUAUGAAUAAGCACCGGCUAACUCCGUGCCAGCAGCCGCCGCGG